AAUAACGACACAGUAAUAAUAUGAGACCUUUAUUGUUUUGCAGUAAGUAUGUUUACCGGGUAAACUUUACCCAAAAUAAGUGCCUUAGAUGCCUGUUUCCGGUUGCCGAUUCUGUUUGUCCGCAUCUUUCAUUGCAGAAAGAGACAUAUUAAUUUUACAAGCUACAACAUUUGACGAAGAAGAAAGUCGUUUGUUCUCCUCGCCUCCCAUUCCGAAACUUUUAGCACUCCAAAUCAUGGCAUACUUCGAGUACGAUACCUGAUUUGCCCUUUGAUUUUCACUGCAACCUGCAAGCCUUUUGGUUAUACGGCCCGCAUUGGUUGCCUGAUGUGGACAUCGCGAAUUAUCGUGCUGUAGACAUUCCUUUGUGUAUCACAUUUGCAUCAUCAUUCAUUAAAGCCCGGACUACAGCGGUGGCGGAUGGUGACCUUGAUUUGCUGAUGCACUGUUAAAUGGGCGCUGUGAAAUUUGACGGCGGAGGUAAUCCUUUGCUGUAUGAAGCGCUCCGUUCUGAUGGCGGUUGCCUCGAUCGGUGCGUCAAACGCAACGAUUUGGUCGACGUUAACAAGGAAUGCCAGCCGUGUCUGGUUUUGGUUGAAACUCGUAUCAAGGGACUCAAGGGCAGUGUGCAGACAAUACGUUAAGGCAGCCAUAAGUCGGCUGUCCGUGAUGAUCUCAGCGAGGGAGGGCGGUCAGAUGAAGAUCCUGUCUGUUGAGGAAAUUCCGAAAAAUGGCGAUGGAGCGGAAUCGAACCGCUGGCUACCGAGUGAGAUCCACGUAGCACAGCCACUGUGCCAUCGCCGCUGUUGGCGAAGAUCAAGAUAUUUGUGCUUGAGCUUGAGCCAACCAGUGCGCAGCCUUCGGAGUGUAAUACUGAAAAAUGGAAAAACUUCGGAAUACUGAAAAAUGGAAAAACUAUGGAUUAAUCGGAAUAUAAUGUUAACAUUCGAUUAAUUCAAAUAUUCUUAUCGAUAAUUCACUCGAUAGAGCAGGUCCCCCAUAAAAGUUAAGAACCGCUUAAGCAGGAUUUCUAAGCUGCUUUGAUACUGUACUUUAGCCGUUAAAUAAUCAAGUCCAUCUGCUUCAUAAUCAUUUCUUAAGGAAACGCGGUGCGACUGAUUUCGUAUUUCUUCUUACAGUUGUAUAAUGCGGUACAACUGAGUACAAGUACUACGAACUAAUAACUAAUCUGAGGUUUCUGUUUCUUUGGUUUCUUCUGCUGAGAAUGUGCCGCCUUUAGUAAUGAGUAGUAAAAAUUUUAUCUGUGAUUUGUGUGGAAAAAUUUGUUUGACGGCGCAUGGGAUAGCGUCACAUCGCGACAGUGGAAAAUGCAGAGAAGCUCAAGCCCGCAACUUACGAAACAAACCCGGGCUCCCCACUGCAUCCCCUCAACCAGUUCCACACGACGAAAACUUGCUGGACAAGCUCUCUCGAUUGCGACGAACCAAUCCUAUCCUCCCGCAUGUUCCAGUAGGUGCGAGAGAUGCAUGUGCAAAUGCGUUUGCGGAACUACUGACCGCAUGCUGCGCGAAAAAUGACAUGGAAGCGUGGAGCAACUUACUCUUCUUUGCACCAAGCAUCCUGACAGCUCCUCCUACGAAGUCUGGUAGAGGCCCAUCACUCGCUACGUCGGUGAAGAAGAACUUGUCAAGUAAGCAGACAGAAGAUAUCAUCCCCUCGAAAAAGAAGCAGCCAAAGCCAAAGAUCGCAGCAGCAUUAAAGGCAAAACUGGUCAACGCCAAACUGGAAAGUGGAUCAAUCGGACGCGCGAUGAACAUUCUCGUUUCACAAGAGACCAUCGCGCCUUUAACUGACGAAGUCAUUGCGAUUUUAAAAGAAAAACAUCCAGGUCGACCCGUUGACCUGGAUGCUACGGUGCGUAACGUCGACGCGAUACCCUCUGAAGUAACACAUA